rnacentral:rRNA from 1 species
AUUGAACGCUGGCGGCAGGCCUAACACAUGCAAGUCGAACGAGUGGCGGACGGGUGAGUAAUGUCUGAGAAACUGCCUGACGGAGGGGGAAAACUACUGGAAACGGUAGCUAAUACCGCAUACCAUCGGAUGUGCCCAGAGGGGAUUAGCUGGUGGGUGGGGGAAAGGCUCACCUAGGCGACGAUCCCUAGCUGGGCUGAGAGGAAGACCAGCCACACUGGAACUGAGACACGGUCCAGACUCCGACGGGAGGCAGCAGUGGGGAAUAUUGCGCAAUGGGCGCAAGCCUGAUGCAGCCAUGCCGCGUGUAUGAAGAAGGCCUUCGGUUUGUAAAGUACUUUCAGCGGGGAGGCGUUACCCGCAGAAGAAGCACCGGCUAACUCCGUGCCAGCAGCCGCGGUAAUAC